rnacentral:rRNA from 1 species
UACGUAGGGUGCAAGCGUUGUCCGGAAUUAUUGGGCGUAAAGAGCUCGUAGGCGGUCUGUCGCGUCGAAUGUGAAAACCCGGGGCUCAACCCCGGGCCUGCAUUCGAUACGGGCAGACUAGAGUUCGGUAGGGGAGUCUGGAAUUCCUGGUAUAGCGGUGAAAUGCGCAGAUAUCAGGAGGAACACCGGUGGCGAAGGCGGCUCUCUGGUACGUGACUGACGCUGAGACGCGAAAGCGUGGGGAGCAAACAGG